CUUUUGUUUUCACUGGGUUUCUGUUGUUCUGCCGGAAGGCUGCAGAAGGCAGUCACAGGAGUCCUGGUUGAAGGCUUGGGUGGCAGGAGGAUUGUAAGUGUGGAAUAUGGGGCCACCCAUGAUGGGGCAGCACCGAGGGGUUAUGGGGGAGGGACCCAGGGAGGGAGCAGGAGGGGUGGAACAUGCCUCUUCCCUGUCUGUUCCAUCCCAGGGUUUUGAUGGCUGAGGUGGAGGAAGGGGCAGCGGUAGAGCUCCAGGGACUUCCCCCUGACAUGCCAGAGGAACUGCUCAUGCUGUACUUUGAGAACCGCCGGCGCUCCGGUGGGGGGCCUGUGUUGAGCUGGCAGAGACUUGGCUGUGGGGGUAUCCUUACCUUUCGAGAGCCUGCAGGUGAGGGAGCUGGCUAAAGGGGGCAGCCUGGGAACCCUGAUACCCUAAUGACACUGACGUCCCACCCCUGCUCACAGAUGCCAAAAGGGUCUUGGCCCAGGCAGAGCACCGACUACAUGGUGCCAGACUGAGCCUGCACCCAGCUCCACCACGCGCCCCUGCACGUCUGCUUCUCCAAGGAUUACCACCUGGCACUGUGCCACUGCGCCUGGAGCAGCAUGUCCAGGCCCUGCUGAGUGCCAUGGGGCACCCAGUGCAGUCCUGCCAUGCCCUGGCCAGUCCCAGGCCUGAUCGGGCCCUGGUCCAGCUGGCCAUGCCCCUUUCUGAGGCAGGUGAGAGGCCUGAAUGGGGCUGAGGUGCUGGUUAGGGGAGGUACACCAAGCUGACUUGCACCCUUCCCACAGAAAUUCAUGUCCUGGAGGAACAGGCCCGGAAUACGGACCUGGAUGGGGCUAUGGUGUCAGUGACCUGGGUGCCUCAGGCCCGAGCUGUGCGUGUGGUGAGGGGCACACCCCCUUUGGACAUGCUGCUGCUAGAGUUGUACCUGGAGAAUGAGCGCCGCAGUGGUGGGGGGCCCCUGGAGGGCCUGCGCAGCCUGCCGAGACAGCUGGGCACUGUUGUCUCCUUCCAGCAGUGGCAGGGUGAGUGGGCUGGGCAGACACAUGGGACCCUUCCUCUUUCACAAAAACUUGAUAGGCUUUCUGUCUUCUUUCCUCCAAGUGGCUGAACGGGUGCUGCAGCAGGACCACUGGCUGCAGGGCUCAGAGCUGAAACUUGUCCCCCACUAUGACAUCUUGGAGCCUGAGGAGCUUGCUGAGGGCACCAAAGGAAAGGAUAACCCAUCCAUGCUGGGAUCUGAGCAUGCUCUCCUGGAGACUAGAGGGCUGGCAGAAACCCUGAAGUGUGCAGGGGCUGUGACUGUGGGUUCUGGGGAGGCACCAGGGCAAUUGGAAGCCUUUCUGAGGACAGGUCUUCAGGCUGUGCCAGUUGGCUUGGAUCCCGUGGGAUGUCCAGAGCAAGAGGGGCCUAUGGGAUCUCUGGAGCAGGAAGGGCCUGUGAGCUUGGGGACUGUGGGGUCUCCAGAGCAGGCUGGGCUCAUGAGUCUGGGGCCUAUGGGGUCUGCAGGCUCAGUGGGCCCAGUGGAGGUCUCUAUGGAGUUGCUGGGACAAGUGAAGCUCAAGGGCCAGAGACCCAUGGGGCUUCUGGCACAGGAGAGCCUGAUGGAAGUUGCCAGGGGCUCACCAGGUCAGGAGGGGCUGGUGGGUCCAGAAGAGAUUGCCCUGGAAUCUGCAGAGAAGGUUGGGGUGAAGAGCCCUGGGCAUAUGGGGCUUCAGGGUCAGGAGGGCCUGGUAGAGAUGGUGUUAUCGAUGGAGCCAGGAGCUAUGCGCUUCCUACAGCUUUAUCAUGAGGACCUUCUUGCCAGCCUGGGAGAUGUCGCUCUUUUCCCACUUGAAGGAAUGGAGGUGACUGGCUUUCGGGUGAGUGACCCAUAGAAAUUCCUCACUUUUGCCUCCUUUUCCCACUGGGGCUCUGGGUACCUUUCCUGUACCCUGAAUCUGCAUACUGUUCCUCUCUCAUGGUCCUGCAGCUCUGUGGAGCCCAGGCCUCAUGCCAGGUGGCCCAGGAGUUGCUGCAGAGUCUGCUGGGUAGCAUCAGCUGCCAUGUGCUGAGCCUGAAGCACCCAGGCAGUGCCAGGUUCCUGCUGGGUGUGGAGGGGCAGCACCUUUUGCAGGGUUUGGAGGCUCAGUUCCAGUGUGUCUUUGGGACAGAGCGUCUGGCCAGUGCCAACCUGGUCAUGGACCCUGAAGAGGUAGAGAUGAAGUUCUUCCCUAUCUCUCUCCUGUCUUACUCUCCAGCUCCAGGUACCCCCUCUCCCUUGCCCAAAGGCUAGUGACCCUGAUAUCCUUUCCCCACAGGUGGAUUCCACUGAGAUCCUUCAGGUCCUCCCUGGCCACAGCCAUACCUGGUGGCCCACAGAUAGUACAGGCAGUGACCAGGAGAACAUGAGCCUGGGUAGGGCUCCCUGGUAGGGGCCCCCAGCAUGUCCUGUGGUCCUUUUUUGACCCUGCUCUCUGCCUUGCUCUGAACUCUUACCUCUCUAGUGACCCUUCCCAGGCCCAUCCUCUACCCUCAAACUCACUCCAUCUUUCAUCCAUUCCAUCUCAUCCUGUUUUUCAAUACCAUCCUGGCUGGACCUGACUCAUGACCCAGUGUUCUCUCCCUACCCUCAGAGGAAGUCCGAGAGCUGCUGGCAACCAUGGAAGGCUUCGAUAGGGAGAACUGGUUGUCCCUGGAGCUGGGAGAGGAGGGACCUGAGGACCAGCCAGAAGAGGCAGCAACUUCAGGGAAGGAGGAUGAAGAACCCACACCUGGGGCUGGGGAGAAGCCUGUGAGCCUCAGCACUGGGGCAGCUGGGCAGCUAGAGGAGGAAGCUGCACUGCAACUGGCCCUCCAUCGGUCACUGGAGCCUCAAGACAAGGUUGCUGAGCAGGAGGAAGCUGCUGCACUAAGACAAGCCCUGGCCCUCUCCCUUUUGGAGCAACCCCUGUUGGAAGCAGAAGAGUCCCUGAAUGGAGGAACUGGUAGUGGGGCCCAGCUGGUGGUGCAUGCACCCUUUGAGCAGGAUAUAGAUGAGUUGGAACAAGCAUUAACAGCUGCCUUGGAGGUACACCUGAAUAAGGAGACUGUGAGACACCCAGGCCGUGUGCUGCCCACAGAGCUGUGUGCUCGCCUGGGGCAGUGCCAUGGUGUGAAUGUUGCCCUGCGUGGUGAUUGCACUGUCUUUUGUGGCUUUGGAGCCCAACCUGCCCGUGCGGCACGCCACUUCGCUGUGCUACUUGCUGGCCCCUGGGAUCAGAGUUUGGCCUUUCCCUUGGUGGCUUCAGACACUACUUGUGAGUCUGUGCUUUGGACUAGGAGAGGGCAGGUGGCUGACUAUUGGGCUAGUGUGUAAGCAUGGCCCUGAUGUCCUUUCUUUCUACAUAUCAGUGCUAGAACAGAGGCUGAAAAGGCCACUGGGAAAGCUGGAGGGCCUGGAAGAGAGCACCAAGGAAUUCCAAAAUGUGGUGAAGGCUUUCUAUGACACCCUGGAUACUGCCCACAGCAGAAUCCGCAUCAUACGGGUGAGUCUAUACUCUGUCUCACAGGUCUCGGUGAGACUUGCCUGCAUCAGAGUCUGCUGUCCAGGACCUGCUCAGCAGACAGGCUAGAGACUGAGGUAGGGACAGGAGAGCACUGGGGCCUGAGGGAGGCUCUCUGCAAGGAACUAUGUGAGAUGCUCUGUACACCUCAGUUUCCCUGCCUGGACUAUGGAAUGGUGAUGCUCUCUUGACCACUGUGAGAGCUACUUAUUCCCAUAAAUGAGUAACUUGUCCUGUUCUAGGGGCUCUUCUGUCUCCAACUGGGGCCAGGGCUCCCUGCAGUGUGGUGACCUCUUCUUGGCUUGUUUGUUUGUUUAUUGUGAGGCUAGGGAUCAAAGUCAGGGCCUCCAGCAUACUAGACAAGUGCUCUACCACUGACCUACAUCCUCAGCCCCUUUUCUUGUCUUCUAACUUACUAAAUUUGGCAACCCUGAAAAUGGACUUGUUUUCAAAAAAGGCUGGGAAAAAUUGGUGGGGAGUUAGAGUGAAGCCCCAGGAGCCACUACCUGUCCAGGAAGGUGAAGAAGAACCAAGAAGGAGGGACUAGAGAGACCAGAGAGGUUUACAGAAGACAUAGGUUGGGGCAGGGGUGCACAAGAUGAGUAGGAACCACAAUAUCUUCCCUGCCCAAAGGAAGGACUAAGGAGGGAGUGUUGGUCAGGAUGGUCUAUCAGGGAGUUAGUGUGGGGAGGGGGCAAAGAGUAAAUGGGGGAUGAGGGCAGGAACAACUCUGGAAAUAGGCUGGGUAAGAGGGAGAAGGAUAGAGAUAGAAGUAGAUAGAAGAAGUCCAGGGUUGAAGAAGUUUCUGAUCCAGAAAACAGUGUGCUCAUAACUGAGGGAUGAAUCCAAGAGAGGGCUGGCCAUAGACAGAUGAGAAGGACAGAGGAGAGCUUGAGUCACUGUGCUGGUAAGCCUGGGCAGAGAGUUCUCCCCUCUUGAUGCUCAGUUAUGGGUACAGCCAGCAGCAGCAGCCUCCACCUAGAGCUGGUCAUAAAUGCAGAACCUCUGGUCUUCCCCAAGGUUGGGGAAGUCACCUACAACCUGACCUACUUACCCACUUCCAUCACCAUUACCACCACCACCAUCACCACCACUACCAUCAUCCCACCACCACCACCACCAUCCCACUGGUGACAGUUACCACCAUCACUGUCACCACCAACAGCAUUCCACUAGUACAAUCACCACAAUCACCACUAUCCCACCACCACCACCAUCCUACCACUAUAGUUAUAAAAAAUAGAACCAUAGUAAGUAAAGUAAAUGAAAUCCUAUUAUUAAAACUACUGCAUGAAAGAAAGUGUUCUAAGCUUAUCUUGUGAUUUUUUACUUCAUUUUUUUUCUUGGUUGUGCUUGGCUGCUAGGGUACUUUGUGCCUCCUCAAUACCCUCUUUUUGGAGGAAGGGGUACCAGGGAUUGAACUCAGGGCACUCGACUCCUGUGCCACAUCCCCAGCCCUAUUUUGAAUUUUAUUUAGAGACAGGGUCUCACUGAGUUGCUUAGAGCCUCGCUUUUGCUGAGGCUGGCUUUAAACUUGUGAUCCUCCUGCCUCAGCCUUCAGAGCCGCUGGGAUUACAGGUGUGCACCUCCGAGUCUGGCUUGAUACCCUCUUGUGUGAAUUCUGUUCUUGAGUAAGGAGUAUCUCUGAGUGGGUAGUGAACAUUUUGACUUUUAAGUUUAAAAAUAACUUUUAUAAUUAGAAGUAUUUUACAAUUCUAAUUUGAGUUGAUAUAAACUUUCUAUGUUGUUAAAUGUUCUAACUUGUCUUUAUUUCUACAUUCUUCAUUAAUAAUUUUGCUGGGAUACACUGUUCAGGUUCAAAAGAUAUUUGCCCUCAGACUUUUGAAGACUUUGCUCUUUUUUAAAUUUUAAGAUUCUUUUACCCUACAAACUUAAAAACAUAAAUAUCUCCAUGGUUUCUUAGUAUCCAGCAUUGGUGAGAUACUCAAUGUGAGAUUUCUUCCCAUUUGUACAUUAACCUUGAUAGUGGGUGUGUGGGUGGGUGGGGUGUGGGUGUAUACAUUUGAUAAGUUUUCUUCACUUCAAGGGUAAGAUUUUCCUGUCAGGUGCCAGGAAUAUGUCCUUCACAUUGUCCUUCGUGGCAUUUCAUGGGUCCUCCCAUCUGGAGAUGUUACCUUUCUGCUCGUCUUCCAUUGUGUUCCCAGGAGCCCCCACUCUUGCCUGUUGUCUUUUCCUGGAGCUCCUGAGAGGCAGAACUUAGACCUCUUCCACUUGCCUCGCUCCCCGUGUGUUGUUUCCUUCUUUUCCUUUAGCUCUGCUCUCUGCAUCAAUUACUUAUUUCCAUGUAGAUCCUCUAGCUGGAUCUUUAGCUCUAACCAUUCCAUUAUCUGGCCCACCCACAGAAGUUAGCUCAGCAUUCUUGUUCUUGGCCUCCUUCUUCAUACUAGGGGAUCCAACCCAGGGCCUCCCACAUGCUAGGCCAGUGCUGUUCUACUGAGCUGCAUCUUCAGCCCAGCAAUCUCAUUCUUAAUGUAAGAACUAUUUCUUAUUUUUAGACUUUUUUUUUUUUAGCAUCUAGUCUUGUUUUAUGAAUGUAGUAUUGUUUUGAUUGCCUCUGAAGCAACUAAUUAGAGUUUCUUUAAAAGCUGUAUUUGGGUCCUUGAGUUUGUUACUUUAGGGCUUGGUCACUUCAGGCCUUCUCUCCUGCCUGGGUCUUCUAGAACUGAGAGGGCUGUGGCAUCUGAACGUUGGGAGUACUGCUGAGGGCAGUGUAGGCACCUGGCUAGGUUUUAUGCUCCAGAGGUCUGGCUGUGCGUCCUGCGUUCAGGUGAUCCUGUGGAGUUUGUCCACCUGCAGACCUCUCUGCAGGAGUUAGACCUCCCUGGAGGUGUCAGGCCUUCCUAGAAGUCCUGGGAUGCCACUUGCUCCCUAAUGGAGGUAGUUUAUGUCUGUGGCUGGACAGAGAAUGAGGGGGCUGCAAGGUCUCCCCCUAAAUUUUCCACCAAGGGGCUCCUGAUUGCUGACCUCAGCUUUUCCUGGGCCAACCCACAGGCAUAGGAAAUAACUGCAAGAAAUAACUGCAAAUAGCCUGGCUCUGACCAUCUCUCACCUGAUAGGUGGAGCGUGUGUCGCACCCGCUGCUGCAGCAGCAGUACCAGCUGCACCUGGAGCGCCUUGAGGAACGCUGCGUGCAGCGCCCUGUGGAGCGGGUCCUGUACCAUGGCACAUCGGCCUCCGCAGUGCCGGACAUCUGCGCGUUCGGUUUUAACCGCAGCUUCUGCGGCCGCAACGGUUAGGCCUAGGCUGGGCAGGGCUGGGGCUCCAUCAACCCCCAUCACUCUGACCUCUGCCGCUUCCGCCUUGCAGGUACGCUCUACGGGCAGGGUGUGUACUUCGCCAAGCGCGCCUCCCUAUCCGUGCAGGACCGCUACUCGCCUCCCAAUGCUGACGGCCACAAGGCGGUGUUUGUGGCACGGGUGCUGACGGGAGACUAUGCGCAGGGCCGCCGCGAUCUGCGGGCACCCCCUCUGCGGCCCUCUGGCCAUGUGCUCCUGCGCUACGACAGUGCUGUGGAUUGCCUCCAUCAGCCCAGCAUCUUUGUCAUCUUCCACGACACUCAGGCGCUGCCCACUCAUCUCAUCACCUGCGAGCACAUACCCCCGGCUUCCCUUGGGCUCUCGAGUCCCUCUCUGGCCACCUGACCCAAGGGGUUAGCCUGUGGCCUGCUGCUCUACAGGUUCCCCGUUCUACAAACCCCCCUUUCCUCCCUGGGGACGUUCCUGCUUCUUGUUGGGGAGCAGGAAUCCAGGCCGACCCGGAGGGCUGGGUCGGCCCAACCACCAGGGGUCAGCAAAGCCCAGCAGGAGGGUGCGCCGGCCUGACACGCCCGUCUUGGCUGGACCUCGUCUGAGCGCUUCUGUGUCUCUGAAUAAACGUGAAACCAGGCAGAACCUCCUGGCGUUCGGAAUCAGACCUCUGGAGAGUGGGGGUCUCCGCGUAGCCA
rnacentral:lncRNA from 1 species